CUGAGCCACAAGAACAGGAAAGGAGCAAGAUCUAUUUCCACACCAGAGACACUUUUCCUGAUCAACCCUGGAACAGCUGGAUAUCCCCUGUCCAUCAUCUUGGGGCACAGCAAAGCUGUGCUAGAAUCAAAAGUUUUCACAAAACACGAGAGACUGCAAAGGAAGAAGAAACUGCCUGCAAAGCUGUGAUCUUGUCCUUAGUCAGAGCUGAUUAUUUUAAAAUCCAAGAUUUUUUAUUGCUGGAGCUGUCUCAUUUCCCUGGCACAAGGUCACAGAAUGCUGUGGAGCCCAUUCCCAUUGUUCCUGAGCACUCUGGGCUGCUAUAAAAGGUACUCCAGGGCACUCAGUCACUGCACUGGAGCAUCACCACAGGGCUGGCAGGAGAUUCUGCAGGUCAGGACUUCCCUGGCAUCCAAACACCACCACCAGUGAAAGCAAGAACAGAAGAAAAGAUUUCUGAUCACACCAUCAGCUUCUGGUCCUGUGGAGCUGAUUUAAAGAAGACAGAAAAUGUUCCUGCCCCAGAGACCUCUGCAGACAGUUACAUUUUUGGCAAUUCUUUUUUUUGCCUGUUUUGCAAUGGGUCAAGACCUUGAAAACAGGAGGGCACUGACCGAGCACCAGCUCCUGCACGACAAAGGGAGGGCGGUCCAAGGGCUGAAGCGGCUGCUGUGGCUGCAGCACGCCCUGGGUGCCGUGCACACGGCCA
rnacentral:lncRNA from 1 species